rnacentral:rRNA from 1 species
AGAGUUUGAUCCUGGCUCAGGACGAACGCUGGCGGCGUGCCUAACACAUGCAAGUCGAGCGAGGUAUUUAUACCUAGCGGCGGACGGGUGAGUAACACGUGGGUAACCUGCCUCAAAGUGGGGAAUAGCCUUCCGAAAGGGAGAUUAAUACCGCAUAAUGUACACAUUUAGCAUUAUCAGUGUACCAAAGGAGAAAUCCGCUUUGAGAUGGGCCUGCGGCGCAUUAGCUAGUUGGUGGGGUAACGGCUCACCAAGGCCACGAUGCGUAGCCGACCUGAGAGGGUGAUCGGCCACAUUGGAACUGAGACACGGUCCAGACUCCUACGGGAGGCAGCAGUGGGGAAUAUUGCACAAUGGAGGAAACUCUGAUGCAGCAACGCCGCGUGAAUGAUGAAGGCCUUCGGGUCGUAAAGUUCUUUGAUUGGGGACGAUAAUGACGGUACCCAAAAAAC